ensembl:ncRNA ZK484.10 ncRNA
UCUUUAAACUUCACUAACAACUCUCCUUCUUUCUCGCAAAUAAAAGCGCCCUUCUCGCUUGUCUCGACUUGUUUCACUCGCGGCCUAGUGGUUAACGCGGCCGGCUGCCGCUCGCCGCUCCCGAGUUCAACU